AUAGGUGCAGCAUAAUGGCGUAUGCAACGGUCUCCAAAACCGUAGAUUGCAGGUUCGAAUCCUGCCGCCUAUGC
rnacentral:tRNA from 3 species